GGCGUUUGUGCCAACAGCCCCGGGUCCCUGCUCUGCGGCAGCCCCAGAUUCCGAAGCCAGGAGUGAAGGAUAGGACCUCGGCCAGGAUUAAGACUAAUCAAGCCUAAUGGAGCUCAAGUUUCCCAGGGGGUCAGUAGUGCCUUGGAGAGGACUGGCAGCCACAGGACAGAGGACCCAGGGGGCCGAGAGACCCGAACCACUGGGCUCUCUUCAUCGUCUCCGUCCACUGAGUUCCUGGAGAGAACCCAGGGGUCCUGAGUUUCUGCUUUCUUGAGUAUGUUUUUCAUAGCAUGAGGAGUUAGGAGACUCUUACUGCCAUCCCAGCAGGACACACACACACACACACACACACACACUGGCUUUUACAGAAUGCACAACCGGAGAAGAAAGCAAAGAAGCAAGUUUCAUACAAAAUGGAGUAGUGCCUGCUCACAUAUUAGUGAGAUGCUAAAGGAACCUCAGGUCGAAGCUGCUGGGGGCUCAGAGAAAGGGCUUGUCUAUGUCAGUGAAGGCCCAUUACUCAUCUGAAAGUCAUCCAAGAGGGCCAUGCUUGUGAGCAGUAUUUCUGUUAGCUUUUGUCGUCUCAGCCCGUUGGCUUCUCAGAUUGUUCCUAUUAGGGGCUGUUAGCACCUCACGGCCAUGUUUCUGGCCCCUUAGGAAUUCCUGUUUUAAUCAACCGUCCUCCCUGGAGGCUGCAAAGGGAUGACCGAUGCAAGGAUACGAUAUAAGCUGCUAACGGAUUUCUAGAUGACUCAGGUUGGCUUUGGGGGUCCGUUUGUAUGGGCUCUCAGGCAGGACGGUGGCUGGCGAUGAUUUUCGAAGACAUAUAUUUGUGAUCGCUAAUUGCUUCUGGGGAAAAUCCGAAACGUGGACGUCAGCUGUGCAGAACGACUGUAGCAGGUGCUGUCAGCACCUUGCAUUGUAUCCCCACGGCUGGUUUUCAGCUCCGGGGCACGGGGGCUAGACACGUGCCAAUACCUGUACUUCUUUGACCGGAGGCUUUCUCAAGUUGCAGAAGUGAGCCCAGCUCGGCCACCCGUGGCAGGCCAGACGUGCCAAGGAAAGAAUGCCUGGGAGUGACCCUCAACCAGUGACCGAGUGGAGCUGGAGCCUGUGCUCACUCCUUCCUUCUCUGUGAGCUUUGAGAUGGGCAUGUACUUUGGUUUCCAGAGCCCUGUGGGAUGAAAGUCCACACUCAUAGUAGUAACCUGCUCACAGCGUUCCCUUUGUUGGUGUUUUGUGUUGCGAUUUCACUUCCUCACUUGCCUAAGGGUGUGUUUCCCGGGAUCCUACGAUUACCCUAUUUGCACUGAAUCCUUAUCUCAGGCUCCUCUUCUGGCUGAACUACUGUGACCAACUUGUCCCGAUUUCCCCGGGGUUGUCCUAGUUUUAAAAGGGAAAGCCCCACGUCCUGAGACUGCCCCACACUUCAGUUCCAGGCAAACAGGGACACUUGAUCAAGGGGGAUCCCAAACCAAGACAGAUGUGACCACACUAAGCAACGCAGACAGAGCACUGAACCACGAGUUUGAAAGCCCAGUAUCGGUUUCGAGAACAAAAGAACAGACACAAGUAUGAUUUUGCCAUGUCGUCGGGUUCAUUAGUUUUUAUGAGCUAAAUGCCUAUAAGAGAACAGUAGCCACCAUUUACAAAUAAGCCAUUCCUUUGAAGACAGACACGGUCAUACAGCCCAAGAGCGUGGUUUGCUAAUUAUUGGUGGACAUAAGACGGCUGACAUCCAGGACUCCCACAGUGUUGACAUGACCGGCUACCGGGAAAAAGGCAACGUGUAUUCCGAGGACAAGAAGUAUCACAGGCACCGUGGGGACAUUACAGAUGAGCAGGCAAGGGGAUGGGGCAGCACGGUGUAGGCACUUAAGGCUCCGAGGGGGACAAGCACCGGCCAUGCCACUUGAGCCAAAGCCACCUGGGCAAAUAGUGAAACUACACGGCGUGUGUCACCACAUUCGACCACAUUGAGGCAAGGCGCUUUGCCUCGGGAAGCGGCUGUAAGCUCAAGGCAGCUGGCUCCGAGCCAAGGAGGUUUGCAGCAUGAACAGGAGAAAUCCCACUUUGGCGGGUAACCUGGGAGGCAGUGCUGUUGAGAGGCCAAAGUCAACAGGCUGGGGGCCGGGUGAACACGCGGGUCAGGGGGCUCCACCGGAGGGGGGCUGGGAGCCCGGCUGGGAGAUGCAGCCAAGCUCCUGACCUUAGGACAGAUCUCUGAAGAUCAGAUUAUCCAGAUGCAAAAUGCCACACACGCCCCUGCCCUGGUUAUUUUUGUACUGGAGCUGUGGCGCGUGCUCCGGCUGAGGAAUGCGCCCGUUUGGUUGGGGGGGGUGGGGGGGUUGUUGAUUUCCCUGGUCCCUGCUAGUUGGUGGCAAGAAGAAAAAGAUCUCCCACGGGUCGUGAACACAACCCGUUCCUGGUAGCAAUGCCCUUCUCUUUCCCUUCUCAAAGCCCUAGGAUACAGGAUGCGUUUGUGUCUGGGGGCCACUUGGGGAUGCUCCAGGACGCAAGUAGGGGACAGCAGCAUUUGGACCCUGCAACAGCAGGUGCUGUGUCACAGGCUCUAGUGGGGCAGGUGGACGGGGUGGCCGGUCACACAGAUCAGGGGAGACCCGUUUCCUCGCUUCCUUUCACCGGGAGUCCCUGUCAAGAAAGAGAGAAGGUUCCCCUCCUAGAGAGCAGAUGAAACCCCCACCCCCACCCCACCCCCACCCCCAGCAGGUAGCUUUGGAACUAGCUACUCCAUUCAUCCAUCACAGCAGCACAGGCCAAUAGAUGUCGUUUGUCCACAGGCAGGGGAAGGACUGGGCAACCGCAAAUGUGUUGUUGGCUGGAAACCAAUGCUUCUUCUCAAAUCCAGUGCAGGUCUGCCUAAGUGCGGGGCCCAGUUUUCCCCGGGAUCCAGAGUUGAUCUCCUCCGCUGAGGGAGGACUCUGGGUGUGGCGGGAGGUUGGCUCCUCGGGAUACUUUUGUGGUGGGGACUCCCCUGCUCCACCUGGCCAAGGAGGCUCACUGCAGGUGCUCCCGCGAGAGUGCCACGCCGCCUCCAUUCUGGCUACACCAUACACGUGCUGCUGCGGGCAGCUCUAUCGUGCCAUCCGUGUCAGAAAGCUCAGGGGCUGGCCUUCGGUGCAAAUGAUGCCCAGACAGCACAGUCUGAGGCCACACCUGCACAUGACAGAACCACAGGCCGGGGAUGUCGCAGCAAAGGCAGCUUAAGACACAGCGUCCCCCAGGGGUGGGGAAAUGGUUCACGGAGGAGACAUUCUUCAAAUACUUCUCACCAAGCUCCAAAAGCACGGGACUACCACCCGGCAUGUUCACUAUGCCGCCCGGUGUGCCUGGCAUCCAGAAGGAUCUCUUUGAAUAUCAGUGUCUGCAAACCCCUGAGGGAGAUCUCCACCAGAAUGUUCCCAGCUGAAUAACCCAGGGGACAGCAACCUUUGGAAUCACCUCAUUGGAGCCUGACAAUACAUAUUUACAUAUUCAUGACUCUGA